rnacentral:lncRNA from 1 species
GGGUUAAGAGGGUUAGAUGUGUUAGGAGGGUUAGGAGGGUUAGAUGUGUUAGGAGGUUUAGAAGGGUUAGAUGUGUUAGGAGGGUUAGGAGGGUUAGAUGUGUUAGGAGAGUUAGAUGUGUUAGGAGGGUUAGAAGGGUUAUGAGGGUUAGGAGGUUUAGAUGUGUUAGAAGGGUUAGGAGGGUUAGAUGUGUUAGGAGGGUUAGAUGUGUUAGGAGGGUUAUAAGUGUUAGUAGGGUUAGGAGUGUUGAGAGGGUUAGGAGGGUUUAGAUGUGUUAGGAGGGUUAGGAGUGUUGAGAGGGUUAGGAUGGUUAGAUGUGUUAGGAGGGUUAGGAGUGUUGAGAGGGUUAGGAUGGUUAGAUGUGUUAGGAUGGUUAGAUGUGUUAGGAUGGUUAGAUGUGUUAGGAUGGUUAGAUGUGUUAGGAUGGUUAGGAGUGUUGAGAGGGUUAGGAUGGUUAGAUGUGUUAGGAUGGUUAGAUGUGUUAGGAUGGUUAGAUGUGUUAGGAGGGUUAGGAGUGUUGAGAGGGUUAGGAGGGUUAGAUGUGUUAGGAGGGUUAGGACUGUUGAGAGGGUUAGGAGGGUCAGGAGUGUUAGAAGGGUUAGAAGGGUUAUGACGGUUAGGAGGGUUAUAAGUGUUAGGAGGGUUAAGAGGGUUAGGAGUGUUGAGAGGGUUAGGAGAGUUAUAAGUGUUCGGAGGGUUAGGAGUGUUGAGAGAGUUAGGAGGGUUAGAUGUGAUAGGAGAUGUAGACAGGUUAGGAAGGUUAGAUGUGUUAGGAGGUUUAGAUGUGUUAGGAGGGUUAGAUGUGUUAGGAGGGUUAGAUGUGUUAGGAGCGUUUGGAGGGUUAGAUGUGUUAGGAGGGUUAGGAGGGUUAGGAGGGUUAGAUGUGUUAGGAGGGUUAGAUGUGUUGGGAGGGUUAGGGGGGUUAGAUGUGUUAGGAGGGUUAGGAGGGUUAGAUGUGUUAGGAGGGUUAGGAGGGUUAGAUGUGUUAGGAGGGUUAGAUGUGUUGGGAGGGUUAGGAAGGUUAGAUGUGUUAGGAGGGUUAGGACUGUUGAGAGGGUUAGGAGGGUCAGGAGUGUUAGAAGGGUUAGAAGGGUUAUGACGGUUAGGAGGGUUAUAAGUGUUAGGAGGGUUUGGAGGGUUAGAUGUGUUAGGAGG